GAAAGGCAAUUGGUCAAAGUUUUUCGUUGUCGUCGUCGUUUGGAAGAAAUGUAAUAUUCGUCACUCCCUAUGCUCCAUGUUUAUUUUCUACUGCCAUACCAGUUUUGUUUGUAGUAGCAAUUCUGGAUCACCGAGGACUUGAACAGUGGAAGGAAUGUACUGUCACAAGAGAAGAGUGGUGGUCUGUAUGAUGUCUAGAGAAAAGACGGCCAAGGAACACAGAUGGCAAUACAUGGGCCAGUGUAUCUCUACUUUUAUUGAGAUGGAAAAACAGGACUGGAACACAAAUUCUGGGAUUCAAGAGCCUGCACUCUCCACUACACAAAACUUAUUUUAAGUAA